UACGUAGAGGGCAAGCGUUGUCCGGAAUCAUUGGGCGUAAAGAGCGUGUAGGCGGUUCAGUAAGUCUGCUGUGAAAGUCCAGGGCUCAACCCUGGGAUGCCGGUGGAUACUGCUGGGCUAUAGUACGGAAGAGGCGAGUGGAAUUCCCGGUGUAGCGGUGAAAUGCGCAGAUAUCGGGAGGAACACCUAUUGCGAAGGCAGCUCGCUGGGACGUUACUGACGCUGAGACGCGAAAGCGUGGGGAGCAAACAGG
rnacentral:rRNA from 1 species